CCUACGGGAGGCAGCAGUGAGGAAUAUUGGUCAAUGGACGCAAGUCUGAACCAGCCAUGCCGCGUGCAGGAAGACGGCCCUAUGGGUUGUAAACUGCUUUUAAUUAGGAAUAACCCCCCGGAUGUAUUCGGGGCUGAAAGUACUAAAAGAAUAAGCAUCGGCUAACUCCGUGCCAGCAGCCGCGGUAAUACGGAGGAUGCAAGCGUUAUCCGGAUUCAUUGGGUUUAAAGGGUUCGCAGGCGGCAUAUUAAGUCAGUGGUGAAAUGCCUCCGCUCAACGGAGGAACUGCCAUUGAUACUGGUAUGCUAGAGUAUAGUUGGCGUAGGCGGAAUAUUUCAUGUAGCGGUGAAAUGCUUAGAUAUGAAAUAGAACACCGAUCGCGAAGGCAGCUUACGAAGCUAUAACUGACGCUCAUGAACGAAAGCGUGGGGAUCAAACAGGAUUAGAUACCCUGGUAGUCCACGCUGUAAACGAUGAUUACUCGUUGUCGGCGAUAUACAGUCGGUGGCUAAGCGAAAGUGAUAAGUAAUCCACCUGGGGAGUACGAUCGCAAGGUUGAAACUCAAAGGAAUUGACGGGGGCCCGCACAAGCGGAGGAGCAUGUGGUUUAAUUCGAUGCAACGCGAAGAACCUUACCUACCCUUGACAUCCAGAGAAUCUGUUAGAGAUAGUAGAGUGCCUUCGGGAGCUCUGAGACAGGUGCUGCAUGGCUGUCGUCAGCUCGUGUUGUGAAAUGUUGGGUUAAGUCCCGUAACGAGCGCAACCCUUAUCCUUAGUUGCCAGCGAGUCAAGUCGGGACCUCUAGGGAGACUGCCGGUGAUAAACCGGAGGAAGGUGGGGACGACGUCAAGUCAUCAUGGCCCUUAUGGGUAGGGCUACGCACGUGCUACAAUGGUCGGUACAGAGGGCAGCGAACUUGCGAGAGUAAGCAAAUCCCAGAAAGCCGAUCCUAGUCCGGAUUGGAGUCUGCAACUCGACUCCAUGAAGUCGGAAUCGCUAGUAAUCGCAAAUCAGAAUGUUGCGGUGAAUACGUUCCCGGGCCUUGUACACACCGCCCGU
rnacentral:rRNA from 1 species